UUCACGAAGAUAUUUUCAAAAAGUAAUUAAUCAGAAAAGGAAAAGAAAAAGAUGGAAAAUUCAGUAGUGAAGUUACAAGAGGAAUAAACACAAUCCAACACUUUCCUCAAUACUGGGGAACUGCAACCACUUCAAUCGGAUCAACAACAUCACUCCUUUUUUUCUUCAUCAAAUUGAGAUGGUCUACACCCAAUCAAUGAGCAAUUUUGAGUGCUCUAGGGUCAUGGUCUAAAUACAAUGGCAGCCACUUGCAUGGACAUACUUUAACAAAAAUCAUAUCUUGAAGGAUAUGAAAUCAAAAAGCUGUCUUCAAAUCCUAGAUUAAGGGCCUUACUACAAUAUCUGAGAGGAACAAAGAAAAACUCUUGAUUGUAAUUUCUGGUUUGAAGCCGCAAAAAUGUCCAGUGGAGAUGGAAGAAUAGUCUCUUCUGAAGAUAUACAAAUGGUGCAAAAUCGAAUAGAGCAGUGUCUUCGGCAUUACAUGAGUCAGAAGAAGUUCUGGAAACUCUCUUCAUUCAGGACAAGAUAGAGCCAGGAUUUACGGAACUUGGUAUGUUAUCUAAAUUUCAAGGAUCACAGUUUUCCUCCAUCUUGGUGUCUUCAACCAUUGAAAAAUAGCUGAAGUUAGUUUGGCUGAAACUGGAAGAAGAAAAUCAAGAAUUUUUCCAGGCGUAUCACCUGAAACUGAUGGUGAAAGAGCAAAUAAUGGAAUUCAACAGGUUGCUUGCAGAACAGGUUAAGAUGACGCAUCAAUUACCGAGUACAAUUCCUUCUCUACCUAUGAAUAAUGGGUAUCAUAUUUAUGGAUGUGGUCAUUUUACCUGGUUGAUAUUUUGGGAGUGUAUUGAUUUCUUGUCUAUCCUUGAACAUCUUAGCUCAUUUCUGCUUUAAGACUUUGAGACUCUCCUACAGGUCUAGCUUUUCAAUACUUUUGCAACAACAACAACAACGACAGACCCAGUGUAAUCCCACAAGUGGGGUCUGGGGAAGGUAGUGUGUACGCAGACCUUACCGCUACCUUGUGAAGGUAGAGAGGCAGUUUCCGACUUUUCAAUACUUUUGCACUUGAGAAAAAUUAUUUGUUGAAAGCAUUAGCAAAUAGCAAUUUUCUACUAAGCUGGAAACUUCAGUAUUAAACAGAUGCCUAAUCCCAGUGCCUAAAUUUUAAUCAUUGUCAGGUCGUUAAUGUUUCAUAUAUGAGGGUACUGCGAGGGAGAGGGGGCUAGUGAAGCCAAGAGGGACCAAUAUUUCAUCUAUAAUUUAGUGUUACUCAGAAAAAUGAGUGAAUUCUACUCUUACGGAAAUAAGAGAAGGGGAGGGUGACCUACAUGUAUAGUAUACCUAUUCCAAAUGCACCAAUUUGGUUGAGUUAUAUACUUCUCCCACAUGGGUUGUGUAAAGGCUUCUAGAGGAGUUUAUAUAGGUUUUGGGCUAUUCAACUCAUUGCCUUUUAAGGUUUUGGGUUAGAUGCUCAGAUUCUUCAUAUGGUAUCAGAGCCAACCUUUGGCAAGUCCAUUUCACUUGUAAAUUAAGUUUAUGUGUGGACUCAAAAUCAGGUGACACGCGCAAGAGAACGUGUUGUCCCAUAUGGAUUUUAUAAGGUCUUCCAAAGAGGGUUUAUCAAGGUCUCGGGUUACUCAAAUUAAGGUGGCUUGUUUCACAUGGAUAGUGAGCAAUGAAGCUUGCCACACACUUGAAAACUUGCAAAAGAGAGGUAUCAGUUUAACCAUCAGAUGUUUUCUCUGCGGGAUACAAGCAGAAAGUACUAGUCAGUUGUUUUUGCAUUGUCAAGUGACUGCUUAACUGUGGCUGCUUUUCUUGAAUAUGAUUGGGUUGAAGUGGGUUAUGCCAAGGUCCACGACUGAUUAUGAAAGGUUACAACAACACAUUCUUAGUGCUGGAUUUUUAAUUUACCUUACCUUUUCAAGAAAAGGUCUUGGGUUACUCCACCAAUGGCCUAACGUUUUGGGUGCUCAAAUUCUUUUGAACUAAUAAACAUUUUUCUUUUCCUUUCACAUCCCGAACAAUGUAAUAUUUUUUUGAGAUGGUAAAAUAUCCAAUAUAUUAAUAAAUCAUCAGCACUAUUUUGUAUUGGAAC